rnacentral:rRNA from 1 species
UACGGAGGGUGCGAGCGUUGUCCGGAAUCACUGGGCGUAAAGGGCGCGUAGGUGGCGCGGGCAGUCAACGGUGAAAACUCGAGGCUCAACCUCGAGACGUCGGUUGAAACCGCUUGGCUAGAGUCCGGAAGAGGAGAGUGGAAUUCCCGGUGUAGCGGUGAAAUGCGCAGAUAUCGGGAAGAACACCCGUGGCGAAGGCGGCUCUCUGGGACGGUACUGACGCUGAGACGCGAAAGCGUGGGGAGCGAACAGG